rnacentral:pre_miRNA from 1 species
UAAAAUUCAAGUCUGAGGGUUCCUUUUAACUAAAGAACUUUCUGACUUGAAAUUUGA